rnacentral:rRNA from 1 species
GACGAACGCUGGCGGCGUGCCUAAUACAUGCAAGUCGAACGCAGUGGGGACGGGUGAGUAACACGUGGGUAACCUCCCAUCAGAGGGGAUAACACUUGGAAACAGGUGCUAAACCGAUACUGUUGGAUGAACUCGCGGUGCAUUAGCUAGUUGGUGAGGUAACGGCCCACCAAGGCCACGAUGCAUAGCCGACCGGGGAGGGUGGUCGGCCACACGGGAACUGAGACACGGCCGAGACUCCUACGGGAGGGAGCAGUAGGGAAUCUUCGGCAAUGGACGAAAGUCGGACCGAGCAACGCCGCGUGAGUGAAGAAGGUUUUCGGGUCGUAAACCUCUGUUGUUGGAGAAGCGGUAUCUAACCAAAAAGCCACGGCUAACGACGUGCCAGCAGCCGCGGUAAUUC